ACAACGCGACCCCAGGUCAGGG
rnacentral:rRNA from 1 species